rnacentral:rRNA from 1 species
GACGAACGCUGGCGGCGUGCUUAACACAUGCAAGUCGAACGGAAAGACCCUGCUUUUGUGGGUUGCUCGAGUGGCGAACGGGUGAGUAACACGUGAGUAACCUGCCCUUGACUUUGGGAUAACUUCAGGAAACUGGGGCUAAUACCGGAUAGGAGCUCCUGCUGCAUGGUGGGGGAUGGAAAGUUUCGGCGGUGGGGGAUGGACUCGCGGCUUAUCAGCUUGUUUGUGGGGUAGUGGCUUACCAAGGCUUUGACGGGUAGCCGGCCUGAGAGGGUGACCGGCCACAUUGGGACUGAGAUACGGCCCAGACUCCUACGGGAGGCAGCAGUGGGGAAUAUUGCACAAUGGGCGGAAGCCUGAUGCAGCAACGCCGCGUGCGGGAUGACGGCCUUCGGGUUGUAAACCGCCUUCGCCUGUGACGAAGCGUGAGUGACGGUAAUGGGUAAAGAAGCACCGGCUAACUACGUG